rnacentral:lncRNA from 1 species
CGACAUAUCUUUCUGUCGAUGAAAGUCCUCCUAGUCGUUGGCUUUUACUUAGCUAUUAUCAUUGGGACUAGUUCGAAGAUUGCCCUAACGAGAAGGAAAACCCUAAGGAAGAGAAGAAGAGGCGAAGAAAAAUUGAUUUUUCCAUCCAUGAAUGGACGAUGGAAGAUCGGUAAUAAAUAAAAGACCUUUUCGGAUGUUGAAGAACCACCACCCUCGAGCCUUCGGAUGAGGUCGAAGGAUGAAGAAAGCCCGAAAAAGAGAAGGGCGAGGGAUGGUCGGCAACAUCCG